rnacentral:tRNA from 1 species
GCCGGAUUAGCUCAGCGGUAGAGCAGCGGACUGUUAAUCCGUUGGUCGCAAGUUCGAAUCUUGCAUCCGGCG